AGAUUGAACGCUGGCGGCAUGCCUAACACAUGCAAGUCGAACGGGAGUAGCAAUACUCUAGUGGCGGACGGGGUGAGGAAUACGUAGGAAUUUGCCCUUAAGUGGGGGAUAACCCGGGGAAACCCGGAUUAAUACCGCAUGACCUCGAAAGAGCAAAGUGGGGGAUCGCAAGACCUCACGCUUUUGGAGAAGCCUACGUCGGAUUAGCUAGUUGGUGAGGUAAUGGCUCACCAAGGCGACGAUCCGUAACUGGUCUGAGAGGAUGAUCAGUCACACCGGAACUGAGACACGGUCCGGACUCCUACGGGAGGCAGCAGGUGGGGAAUAGUGGACAAGUGGGCGCAAGCCUAGAUACCAGCAAUCGCCGACGUGGUGUGAAGAACGGCCGUUACGGGUACUAAAGGCUAACGUUUAACGGUAGGUAAGAAAAACGU
rnacentral:rRNA from 1 species